rnacentral:rRNA from 1 species
GAUGAACGCUGACAGAAUGCUUAACACAUGCAAGUCAACUUGAACUUCGGUUUGGGUGGCGGACGGGUGAGUAACGCGUAAAGAACUUGCCUCACAGCUAGGGACAACAUUUGGAAACGAAUGCUAAUACCUGAUAUUAUGAUUUUAGGGCAUCCUAGAAUUAUGAAAGCUAUAUGCGCUGUGAGAGAGCUUUGCGUCCCAUUAGCUAGUUGGAGAGGUAACGGCUCACCAAGGCGAUGAUGGGUAGCCGGCCUGAGAGGGUGAACGGCCACAAGGGGACUGAGACACGGCCCUUACUCCUACGGGAGGCAGCAGUGGGGAAUAUUGGACAAUGGACCAAGAGUCUGAUCCAGCAAUUCUGUGUGCACGAUGAAGUUUUUCGGAAUGUAAAGUGCUUUCAGUUAGGAAGAAAAAAAUGACGGUACCAACAGAAGAAGUGACGGCUAAAUACGUG